rnacentral:rRNA from 1 species
UACGAAGGGGGCUAGCGUUGCUCGGAAUCACUGGGCGUAAAGGGUGCGUAGGCGGGUCUUUAAGUCAGGGGUGAAAUCCUGGAGCUCAACUCCAGAACUGCCUUUGAUACUGAAGAUCUUGAGUUCGGGAGAGGUGAGUGGAACCGCGAGUGUAGAGGUGAAAUUCGUAGAUAUUUGCAAGAACACCAGUGGCGAAGGCGGCUCACUGGCCCGGUACUGACGCUGAGGUGCGAAAGCGUGGGGAGCAAACAGG